GAACGCUGGCGGCAUGCCUAACACAUGCAAGUCGAACGGAAUAAGUUUGGUUGUAGCGAUACUUUUGAACUUAUUUAGUGGCGAACGGGUGAGUAACACGUGAGCAACCUGCCUUUUACACAGGGAUAACAGCCGGAAACGGCUGCUAAUACCGGAUAAGACCACACCGAGGCAUCUCGGAGGGGUCAAAGCGAUUUAGCGGUAAAAGAUGGGCUCGCGUCCCAUUAGCUAGUUGGUGAGAUAACAGCCCACCAAGGCGACGAUGGGUAGCCGACUUGAGAGAGUGAUCGGCCACAUUGGAACUGAGACACGGUCCAAACCUCUACGGAAGGCAGCAGUAAGGAAUCUUGCACAAUGGGGGAAACCCUGAUGCAGCAACGCCGCGUGAACGAUGAAGGCCUUAGGGUUGUAAAGUUCUGAUCUGUGGGUAGAAGAAAGUG
rnacentral:rRNA from 1 species